rnacentral:sRNA from 1 species
AUAUAAUAUAUAGUCUAGUAGUUUUUCUGUUUGCUCCGUGGUUUGGGCAGGGAGGGGAGGAGGAGGAGCUUGGCAAGUUAUCUUCUCCUUCCGUGAAACAGAGCACUUUAUUUUAAGUGCUUACUUUCUUUAUCACUUACUUUCUCAUAUUGGCCUUCCAGGUUGUACGCCUGAGGAGUGAUGUACCCAGAGUUCCAGAGAAGGCUUGGAAAAUAGUUAAGGUAUAUGCUCGUAUGUCAGAAGUCUUAGGAAUAACAGAUGACAACCACGUUCUAGAAACAUUCAUGACAAAAAUAGUGAACACUUCCCUUUUCUUGGCAUCAGUGACAGUAACAGUCUCAGCGACUUCAGGUGUCGAACAACCUUCUACACAGCGCUCACUCGCCUUCUGAUGGUAGAUCUAGGUGAAGAUGAGGAUGAAUUUGAGAAUUUCAUGCUGCCUCUUACAGUUGCUUUUGAAACAGUGUUACAAAUAUUCAACAACAACUUUAAACAAGAACAUGUAAAGCGUAUGUUGAUCGGGCUGGCAAGAGAUCUUCGAGGGAUUGCCUUUGCACUGAACAC